rnacentral:rRNA from 1 species
UUUGUACAGGAAGAAACACUCCCUCGUGAGGGAGCUUGACGGUACUGUAAGAAUAAGGAUCGGCUAACUCCGUGCCAGCAGCCGCGGUAAUACGGAGGAUCCAAGCGUUAUCCGGAAUCAUUGGGUUUAAAGGGUCCGUAGGCGGUUUAAUAAGUCAGUGGUGAAAGCCCAUCGCUCAACGGUGGAACGGCCAUUGAUACUGUUAAACUUGAAUUAUUAGGAAGUAACUAGAAUAUGUAGUGUAGCGGUGAAAUGCUUAGAGAUUACAUGGAAUACCAAUUGCGAAGGCAGGUUACUACUAAUGGAUUGACGCUGAUGGACGAAAGCGUGGGUAGCGAACAGGAUUAGAUACCCUGGUAGUCCACGCCGUAGACGAUGGAUACUAGCUGUUGGGAGCAAUCUCAGUGGCUAAGCGAAAGUGAUAAG